GCGUCGUUCAACAUGUCUCUCUUUGGCCUUUAGCAUCAGCAACACAAGAAUGUACAAAUGCAAAUUGUCUCUAAAUGAGACAUCUGUAACAAUAAGAUCAAUAAAAGCUUCCUUCGCUCCAUAUCUAUCCAAACAAAAAAAAAGGAAAAAUAAAUAAGGACAUUAUAUAUGCAGAAUACACACACACACACACACACACACACAGAUUACACACACACACACACAGAUUACACAAACAUACACACACAGAUUACACAUACAUUACACACACACACAGACACACACACACAGAGUACACACAAACAGACAUAGAUUACAGACACACACAGAGAUUACACACACACACACACACACACACACACAAACACACAGACACACACACACAGAGUACACACAAACAGACAUAGAUUACACACACACACAGAGAUUACACACACACACACACACACACACAAACACACACACACACACACACACAGAGUACACAAACACACACACACACACACACACACACACACAAAUACACACAAUCCUUUCAAAUGUGCAAAAUACACACACACACACAGAGUACACAUAAGCACACACACACACACGGGCGCGCGCGCACACACACACAGAAAUUACACACAUACACACACACAUAGAGUACACAAACACACAAACACACACACACACACACACACACACUAUCCUUUCAAAUGUGCAGAAUACACACACGCACACACACAUAUUACACUCACACACACACAGAGUACACACAAACACACAUACACACACACACAGAGUACACAAACACACACACACACGCACAGACACACACAUACAGAGUACUCCCAUUGUUAAAACCCCAAAUUUUAAAAAUUGAAAACAGUAUGUCGGUAGGACUUCCAAGUUUGACAACUUUGACAUCCUAAAUUCCCAAGUUCCAUCUCAUCUUAUGAAAACUCCAAAUUCUAAUCUCAAAUUCACCUAAAUAUCAAAACCCUAAUUUGUUCAAGUGCAGAGGUCUAUGAUUGAAAAUUUCUCAAACCCAAAACAACAAAAUCAAAUAAAGCUCAGUUAAUAUCACAAACAAAUCCACACAAAUCGACAAAAUAAAUCGAAGAUUCGAAGCUUACCAGACAACUCGAGGCAGAUGAGGGCGAAAAGAUGCAGAUGAGCGAAGACGUAGCGAUGUGGGUGAGGAGGACGACGAUGAGGGAGCACGGCAAGGACGACGAUGAGGGAAGACGCAGAGACAAGGACGAUGAGGGAAGACGCAAAAAAUCUCUCGUGUUUUCUCUGGCUUACGAGUCCGCCCAAAAUUGGGGAUCCUCGUUAAGAACGGCUAAAGAGGUGUUUAAUCCGAGCGAAUCCCUGCUAAGCUCAUUAAAGCUAAUCCUGGUGCACACCAAACAAAGGAUUAUAGUCUAAUCCAGUCUAGUCCUUCUUAAUCCUGUCAAACAAACGGACCCUUAAAGACUUAAAAUCAUGUCCAAUCAAAGACCCAGCCCCAUAAUAAGAUAUAUAAAAAAGAAAACAAAAAGAGGAGUGUUAGUAACCUUGUCAGCUUUCAUUUUCAUACUUCAAUGUGAACAAUAUUCCAACUGUAUUUUUUAAGUUAAUCUCAAAUUUUAAGGAUUUAGAUUUAGGGUCAAAUUUAAUGAAAUUCCGAGACAAUUUCAAUUAUUAUACGAUUUUGCAAGAUAAGAAAAAAGAACUUAAAAGAAUAGAAUGAGAAGGUUUGAUCAAGAUGAGCGGUAGCAUUUCUGAAAAAGAAUAAUAAAAAAAAAAUUGUUGUAGACGGAACAACUUUCUCACAUUUUAAGCCAUUUUUUCAGUGGUUUGGAUAUUUAGGAUUUAUUACCAGAAAUUGUGGUCCAUGCAAUUCCUUCCCAAAUAAAAUCGAUGACCUAACUUAGAACCAUUGGACCACCACGUUGGGGUUCCAUUUUUCUUACAUCUCUUUAUUAGGGAAUGUACAUGUUUCAUUUAUUUAACGAUUAUUUUUAGAAAAAAAUCUUUCAAAUUGUAGAUUGUUUAGUUAUCCAAAUGUCUCAAAUACAUAAACGGUUUAUUAUAAAUAUGUUAGUUGAUACUCACACUUGUCAAUUUAUUUUAUAUAUUUGAAGGACUAGACGAUCUCUGAUUUAAAUGAUUUUUAGUAAAAAUAAUCUUCAAAUGAAAAACUAAGAAAUUGAACAGAUAUAAAAUUUAUACUACAAAAGUAUUUUAUUCGCUAAGUGAUUAAGACCUAGUUUGGGAGUGAGGUGCUUAAAAAAAAGCACCUAUGAAAAAAAGCUGUGAGGGUUUUAGGUGUUUGGUAAACUGAAAAAAAAA
rnacentral:lncRNA from 1 species